UACAGAGGGGGCAAGCGUUACUCGGAAUUACUGGGCGUAAAGCGUGCGUAGGUGGUUGUUUAAGUCUGUUGUGAAAGCCCUGGGCUCAACCUGGGAAUUGCAGUGGAUACUGGGCGACUAGAGUGUGGUAGAGGGUAGUGGAAUUCCCGGUGUAGCAGUGAAAUGCGUAGAGAUCGGGAGGAACAUCCAUGGCGAAGGCAGCUACCUGGACCAACACUGACACUGAGGCGCGAAAGCGUGGGGAGCAAACAGG
rnacentral:rRNA from 1 species